UACAGAGGUCUCAAGCGUUGUUCGGAUUCAUUGGGCGUAAAGAGCUCGUAGGUGGCUGUCAAAGUCGGGUGUGAAAUCCCAAGGCUCAACCUUGGGUCUGCAUUCGAUACUGGGUGGCUUGAGGACUGGAGAGGAGACUGGAAUUCAUGGUGUAGCAGUGAAAUGCGUAGAGAUCAUGAGGAAGACCAGUGGCGAAGGCGGGUCUCUGGACAGUUCCUGACACUGAGACACGAAGGCCAGGGGAGCAAACGGG
rnacentral:rRNA from 1 species